UGUCAAGGAACUUAAAUGGGUAUUCAGGAAAAAGAAUUCUUGUUUCCCUUUCCUCACCUUGCCAGUUAAAUAACUCCUGGUGACACUUCAGGUGGUAGAAUUGAAACACAAACCUGACUUCUGACCACAUGGGUCAAAGGCAAAAGGCAAAUGGCUUCAAAGCCCUUAGUGUGCUUAUCCAGUUCAGGCAGUGAGGAGAUAACCUCUGCUUUCCUCCCUGAGGAGUUUGGAGUAUUUAAGGGGGGAUGGGGGGGGUGUCACUUUGAAAAUAUGUUGCUUUUUCUCCUGAUUGUAUUGAGGCUGAUAUGGAAGGGUUAUUUCUUUCUGGCCAAUACUUUUUGGUAUUUCUAAAUAUUGCAAUCUUGAUUUUUACUAUUAAAUUUGUUAAUUGUCAGUUCUGGCUUUUUUGCAUAAAGAGUUGGUCCAUUAACUUGCCAAUUUGAAGCUUCUAACUAGAUAUUCCCUACUGAAAGUUUUGGAUUUGUUUUUAGUUUGUGGAGCAGUCUUAGCUGGGGACAGGUAAUUGACAACGGCAGAGAUACUUUUCCUAGGAUUCUAAGUCUGUAAUCCACAUCCUCAAUGUAUUCACAGGACUUUAAAAUUCUCUCCAAAUGAGGAAGGAAAUAUCCUGUUGCUUUCUAAUGUUUACUAAAAGUUGUGUUUAGAACAACAGAUUUUAAUAGGCAUCUUCCUUUGUUAUGUGUCAUAGCCCUUUGCCCGUUUACCUUAGGGCUCUUUGAAGGAGAAAUGGAUGGGAGAAAACCUGUCACUUGGCGAAAGUAAAAGGGAUAAUUAACUGGCUCAGAGCUUAUGUGCAGAGUUCCAAGCCCCAAAGUUAAUCUAGAACUACUCGAUAACACCAAUAAAAAUAUUUAUUUCACAUCUGUUAUAUAUCUGGAAAAUGUUCUAAGCAUCUUACAUAUAUUUUUCAUUAAAUCCACAGGUGACCAUUGUGAGGUAGAUAUUUUGUUCUAAUUUUCCAGAUGAGGAAGCUGAGACCCUAAAAGGCUGACCGGUUCCCUGAUGUGUUACCUGCUUCUGCUACUGAUCCAAACUGCAGAACUUCUCAUUCAUCCCCAAGGCCUCCAGGCAGUAUCCAAUGGGGAAUCAGCUCUAAAAGGAACCAGACCAACGUUUUCCAGCCCCUUCAUUCUGUAGCUUCCCUCUGUGUGAGGAAAGGAUAGAAAUGUUCAGGACAUCAUCAUACAGGCUCCUCAUCUACAAAGUUCCAGUAGCAGUGACGCCUACACGGAAGACUUGGAACUGCAAACAGGCUGGGGUCACCUCAGUGACAUCUGACGCUGUCCAACCAGAAGUUCGAUUUUUGUUCUGGGGGUGAAGGAGGAAACAGACUGUACUAAAGGACUAAAAUAA
rnacentral:lncRNA from 1 species